CGAGCAAGCCGGGCGAUCGCUGCUCCGCCUUAGCGCCCCGAUUCAGUCGGGGCCAGCAGGGGUGGGGGAGAGGAAAGUCCGAACUCCGCAGGGCAGUGUGCUCGCUAACAGCGAGGGUCGGAGGGGGAUGUCCGACAAGUCGGACCGUACGCCUCCGGCACGGAAAGUGCCACAGAAAACAUACCGCCCGUCAGCCGACGGGUAAGGGUGAAAAGGUGCGGUAAGAGCGCACCGCCCCGGUAGUGAUAUCGGGGGCAGGGAAAACCCCACACGGAGCAAGACCAAAUAGGAGAGGAGGAGUGGCCCGCUCCGCCAUAACUCUCGGGUAGGUCGCUUGAGCCCGACAGCAAUGUCGGGCCUAGAGGAAUGAUCGCCCCCCGAUCGUAUCGGGGACAGGAUUCGGCUUACAGGCUUGCUCGCGCA
rnacentral:RNase_P_RNA from 1 species